UACGGGGGGAGCAAGCGUUGUUCGGAUUUACUGGGCGUAAAGGGCGCGUAGGCGGCCACGACAAGUCAGUUGUGAAAUCUCUGGGCUUAACUCAGAACGGUCAACUGAUACUGUCGGGCUAGAGUGCAGAAGGGGCAACUGGAAUUCUCGGUGUAGCGGUGAAAUGCGUAGAUAUCGAGAGGAACACCUGCGGCGAAGGCGGCAUCCUGGACCGGCAUUGACGCUGAGGCGCGAAAGCCAGGGGAGCAAACGGG
rnacentral:rRNA from 1 species